AUGCGUGGACAACAUUAAUGCAAGUGACACAAGAUCAUCCACACCUGGUUAUGGUAGUGAAGAGGACACAGUUCCAGAAAGUAGCAAUAUUCAUCUACCAGAAACUAUACGGG